rnacentral:rRNA from 1 species
AUUGAACGCUGGCGGCAGGCCUAACACAUGCAAGUCGAGCGGAUGAAGAGAGCUUGCUCUCUGAUUUAGCGGCGGACGGGUGAGUAAUGCCUAGGAAUCUGCCUGGUAGUGGGGGAUAACGUUCCGAAAGGAACGCUAAUACCGCGUACGGGCUACGGGAGAAAGCAGGGGACCUUCGGGCCUUGCGCUAGCAGAUGGGCCUAGGUCGGAUUAGCUAGUUGGUGAUGUAAUGGCUCACCAAGGCGACGAUCCGUAACUGGUCGGAGAGGAUGAUCAGUCACACUGGAACGGAGACACGGUCCAGACUCCUACGGGAGGCAGCAGUGGGGAAUAUUGGACAAUGGGCGAAAGCCUGAUCCAGCCAUGCCGCGUGUGUGAAGAAGGUCUUCGGAUUGUAAAGCACUUUAAGUUGGGAGGAAGGGCAGUAAGUUAAUACCUUGCUGUUUUGACGUUACCGACAGAAUAAGCACCGGCUAACUUCGUGCCAGCAGCCGCUGUAACAC